rnacentral:rRNA from 1 species
AUACGUAGGUGGCAAGCGUUAUCCGGAUUUAUUGGGCGUAAAGCGAGCGCAGGCGGUUUUUUAAGUCUGAUGUGAAAGCCCUCGGCUUAACCGAGGAAGCGCAUCGGAAACUGGGAGACUUGAGUGCAGAAGAGGAGAGUGGAACUCCAUGUGUAGCGGUGAAAUGCGUAGAUAUAUGGAAGAACACCAGUGGCGAAGGCGGCUCUCUGGUCUGUAACUGACGCUGAGGCUCGAAAGCGUGGGGAGC